rnacentral:rRNA from 1 species
AUGGAGAUAACCUCCUCCACCGUGCUGCUGCUUGUUGCCGACGUGCUAGUCCAUGUCCUGCCUACGACAUGCACGGCGGUCCGUGGGUUCAGCCUCCCACUAGUCGCCAACCACGGCGGGGGCACGUAUCGUGUGGACGCCGACGGCUUCAUGGUCGUGAACACCACGAGCUUCCACCACCGGGACCCCUCCCCUACGGCCCCCCUGAGGUACACGUAUGGCGUGGCCGUGACCAUUGGCACGGGCCACGGCAAGAGUACCCAUUUCCUCGUGCUGGACAUGACCAACAGCCUGCCGUGGAUGCGGUGCGCGCACUGCUUGCCGGUGCAACGGCAACGUAGCCCGGUGUUCGACCCUAGCCACUCGAGCAGCUACCGCCCCCUCCAUCCGACCAGCCCCCUGUGUUGGCCGCCUAACCGCGUCCACCCCGCCGGCGACAAGUGCUCCUUCCACCUCCUGCGGGAGGCACAUGACUUCGUCGGCGUCGACACCAUCAUUCUGGGUGAUCCGACUUCGCCUAUCCAUGGCAUCGUUUUCGGGUGCACGCAGGCCACCGAGGGGUUCGACACCAAAGGCACUUUCGCAGGCACACUGGGAAUGGGCAGGCUGCCUACCUCCCUUAUCAUGCAGAUCAAGGACCGUGUCGCCUGGCCCUUCUCCUAUUGUCUGAUCAGCCCAGGUCACAGCCAGGACCGACACGGCUUCAUCCGCUUCGGCGCCGACAUCCCGGAGCCCCCGCCUCUGAACCACCAUCGCAUCAAGAUCCUUCCCACGCCUCCUGACCUCCCGCACGGCUUCGCCGACUCGGCCUACUACGUGAAGCUUCUGGGCGUGAGCCUCAACGGGUCCCCGAUCCAGGGUAUCCACCAAACUAUGUUCGAGUGGAGGCACGAUGGGUCAGGCGGGUGCUUCCUGGAUGCCGGCACAGAGAUCACCCAUCUGGUGCCGGCGGCGUACACGCUCGUGGAGGAGGCGGUGGCCCAUGUGGUGCAGCAGUGGGGUACAAGCGCGUUCGCGAUCGCGACUUCCUCCUGUGUUUCCGGGAGGAGCCCCGGAUCUGGUCGCGCAUCCCAAGGUUGA